AGAGUUUGAUCCUGGCUCAGGACGAACGCUGGCGGCGUGCUUAACACAUGCAAGUCGAGCGGAAAGGCCCUUCGGGGUACUCGAGCGGCGAACGGGUGAGUAACACGUGAGGAACCUGCCCUCAGCUCUGGGAUAGCCUCCGGAAACGGGGAUUAAUACCGGAUAUGACCUCCGCGGGCAUCUGCGGGGGUGGAAAGUUU
rnacentral:rRNA from 1 species